rnacentral:lncRNA from 1 species
GGGUGAGCAAUUGGCUGACAGGUAGGGCUCAAAGGGUUGUGGUAAAUGGUGCCACAUCUGGCUGGCAGAUGGUCACCAGUGGGGUCCCUCAAGGCUCCAUUUUAGGGCCAGUCCUCUUCAAUGUUUAUAUAAAUGAUUUGGAUGUAGGACUAGAAGGAGUUUUGAGCAAAUUUGCCAAUGACACCAAACUUGGAGGAGUUGUGGACUCGGAUGAGGGUGGAAAGGCCUUGCAGGGAGAUCUGGACAGAUUGGAGAGCUGGGCAAUCACCAACAACAUGAAGUUUAACAAGAGCAAGUGCCGGUUCCUGCACCUGGGAUGGGGCAUCCCUGGUUAUACGUACAGACUGGGCGACGAGACGCUGGAGAGUAGCCCUGCAGAGAGGGGGGUUGUGGUUGAUAGCAAGUUGAAUAUGAGCCAGCAGUGUGCCCUGGCAGCCAGGAGGGCCAACCGUAUCCUGGGGUGCAUCAAGCACGGAAUUGCUAGUCGGUCAAGGGAGGUGAUUGUCCCGCUCUACUCUGCACUGGUGCGGCCUCACCUCAAGUACUGUGUGCAGUUCUGGGCACCACCAUACAAGAAGGACAUUAAACUGUUGGAGAGUGUCCAGAGGAGGGUGACGAAGAUGGUGAAUGGCCUAGAGGGGAAGACAUAUGACGAGUGGCUGAGGGCACUGGGCCUGUUCAGCCUGGAGAAGAGGAGGCCCAGGGGGGACGUCAUCGCAGUCUACAGCUUCCUCACGACGGGGAGUGGAGAGGCAAGCACCAACAUAUUCUCCAUAAACACCAGUGAUAGAACCUGCGGGAACGGUGUUAAACUGAGGCAGGGGAAGUUUAGGCUGGACAUCAGGAAGAGGUUCUUCACCAAGAGGGUGGUUGCACACUGGAACAGGCUCCCCAGGGACAUAGUCACUGCACCAAGCCUGUCUGAAUUUAAGAAGCGAUUGGGCUGUGCACUUAGUCACAUGGUCUAAACUUUUGGGUAACCUGUGCGGUGCCAGGAGUUGGGCUUGAUGAUCCUUAUGGGUCCCUUACAACUCAGGACAUUCUAUUCUAUAUAUUCUAUGCUAAGUUUCAUCUAACUACAUGUAUUAACUCUAAACUUCUACUUUAUAACUUAUAAAUUGCG